GAAAAAGUAUCAACUCGAUGGACAUUUGAAAAUUUUAAGGGGAAAAAACAAAAAGAUGACUAAAAACAAAGCUAAAGAAUAAAUGGCUGAAUUCCUCUUCCAGUUAUUUAACCGUAAGUAACUGAGAUCAUUUCAGCAUUUGACAUUCUGCAAAGCCAAUUUAGGCAAGAAUUCAUAAUUCAUCUCAGGUAACACCUAAGCAAGAGAUGAAAAUUCCACAUAUCUACCCGCAAAUCACAGCAAAAUAUUAGCUUGCUGUGAAGACAACAAGAAUUGAAAAGCCUCAACCUGAUGGACAACAGCAAGUUUCAACACCACAAAAUUGCUAAUGAAAUAUGAAACUAAAUGAUGACUUCAAACAAAGCUAAAUAGAAAAGAAUUUUGUUGAAGAACAUGAUAACUCUAUCACAGUGGUGAAGACUAUUUAUUCUGCUGUCAUUACUGGCAUAACUGCUCAACUGCUGUCACAAUCUGGGCAGGUUGA
rnacentral:misc_RNA from 1 species